CUUUUCUACACUGUGCUUAUAUCCCAGGAUCUGAUCCCAGGUUAUCUGCUUUGAACUGGGUUAUGAGUCUCCACUGCCAUAUAAUCUGGGAUAAACAGAUAAUCUGGAAUCAGAUCCUGGGACAAGGAGCUGCAGUGGCACAAUGAGAUAAUCCUUGUACCUGCUGAAUAGUUAAAAAAUAAAAAUAAAGGUGAAGGUUUGAAUCCAUGAGAUGAGGUGAGCUCCCGUCUGUCAGCUCUAGCUAGCCGGGACACGAGAGAAGCCUCCCAGGAGAAUAGUAACACAUCCGGGCGUCCCCUGGGGAACAUCUCUGUAGACAGCCGAUUCUCUCUCACCAGAAGCGACUUGUCUCAAAUUUGCUUCUGACAUGAUUUUAAAAAAAUCUGGGAUAUAAGGACAGUGUAGAAGGGGUUUGUGUUAUGAUAUUAAAAUAAUUGUAACACAUAUUUCCAUUGGUUUUUCAAACUGAUGUUGCAAGAAACUUUGAAUCCCAUUCUGGAAGAAAUGGACGAUAUAAAUUAGAUAGGUAGGUAAAUAGAUAGAUAGAUAGAUAGAUAGAUAGAUAGAUAGAUAGACAGACAGACAGACAGACAGACAGACAGAUAGAGAUAGCUUUGUGGGUACAGCUUAAGUAUGCAUUGUGUCUUGAGCAAAACAGUGCACUGGGAUAACACCAGCAUUUACAUGGACAAGAUCUUUACUCUGAGGAAUCUCAACUGGAGUAAGACAAACAUGUGUAGGCUAGGAAUUGCUGGAUUGCUUAAAACCUUUGUCAAGCUCUGUUUGCAACAACCAAAGGUACCCCUGCAGCAUGGCUGUGUUUCUGUCUCAUGUCCAAAUGGAUCUCUUUGGAGCAGAGGAUGUCUGUUCCGACGUUUGCAUCGUGGGACUUAAAGCAGCUGCAAAUACACAGGAUGAUGGGUGAUUCUGCAGUAAGGUGAAGCAUGGAGGGGAAAAUCCUCUGCUUCCCAACCCAAGGGAGCAGGUUUGACUGGUGUCUCUGUGCCUUUAAAGCGAAUCCGAAGGAGAUACCAUCAAAUAACUGAUCCCCUCUAUCUUGGCAGCAUUGUAGUUUCCUUAUCGCACACAUGCAUCUCGAACAGAAUGAACAGCAGCCAAGUCCUAUGAUGCCAUCAUCUUCACCAACUUGUUGCAAUAACAGUUUAUGUGUGCAUGUCUAUUCUAUUAAAUAUAUAUAUUUAAUCCAA